rnacentral:lncRNA from 1 species
AAGUUCAUUGAUAUCAAGUCUUUUGACUAAUGUAAUGUAAUAGAAGUUAACGUUUCGGAAAAGGUUGUGUAUUUUUCUAUAGAUUUAACAAGAAACCUAAACUAUUAAUGAAAAUCAUAGUUCAUAGUAGUUGAGACGAGUGGCAGUACAGUACUUGCUAGAACAUAUAAAUAGGGGGACUUACAGAAAUUGGUUUCACUCAACGUCUCUACGAUUGUGAGCCGAAUCAACGUUUCAGCCGAGGAUUUCUACUUUUUUUUUAUUUACUUUAGAAAAGGAAAGUCUGGUUAUCAUGUGCGCCAUCUUAAGAAAAAAAUAUGAACUAAUAAGGUUUACUUCAGGUUGACGAGAAGUAAUUACUUUCUAAAAAGUACCAGGAUUUAAGUCCAAAACUUCCAACCGUCUUCUCAAUGUCCUUAGACUUGGUAGAGGAAAUCCUUGUCGAAAUAGCAUCUCGUAUCCUUUGGUACCACUAGCAAUUCGUAGCUGCGAUGUUUUUUUAUGGUGCAAGCAGACCAAAUUAUGGAUGUAUAUUUCUAUUUACCGUAUGAUUGUCAACAGACAAUGCCACAACAGUCAAAUCUAUUUCCCAAAGAGUCCUCACGAUAGGAUUGUACUGAUUCAACAGGAACUCAGCCGUUGAAUUUACUUCUGGAAUGAGGGCAACAACGAUGAAUUGAUCAUGAAGGUUAAGCCAGUUUUAAAAGUUUGAUUAUUUGUAAUUUUUUAAAAGGUUUGAUUAUUUGUAGUUCCCACAAAUUUUCCAAUCAUAGUAAUUUUAUUCUCUGCACUUUAAGCCUCCAAUUCGUGCUUUUCAGUACCUUGCCGUGGAUAAAGGUAAUCCUGUUUCUAUCGUAAUAACACUGGAUACGGUACUAAGAUAUCUGGGCGACGGAAGUAAUAGAGCAUUGGAUGGAUGUAUUUGCUAGUAGAGGCCUGAGCUGACAUUAUACCAUAUCAAAGCAAUGGAAAGGAGUCCAGAAGAAUAUCUUCUACCUUUAGGUUGUUUGAAGAGAUGAUACAUUUGCUCCAUUAUGAAUGAGAGCUUGGAAGAUUGAAUCCAGACACAUAUUUCUAUCUCUUUUCUCAGAAGGUGAUUCACUUGUUCUGACUAAGCUUUCAUUGACUCACUCCAUAGAAUCGUCCGAAACACGUUGUUUUGAUAAAUCCAGGGGACUGAGCCACACAUUUUUUUUAACGAUAUUGCAGAACUAUUCAAAUCCGGAAACGUUUACGUCUGCAAUUCAUAUUGUUAAUAAGGAAUCUAGAAGCUAACGAAUAUGUGGAGACAACUUUAUCGAAUGACCGAAUUGGUUAGAUACCCUCCCCAUAAUAUAAAAAACUUUUUCUAAGACCUAGCAGGUUCCAAGUUAUUUAGGAAAUUGAACUUGUUUGUUUCUUUGUCUGACAAAUAGUUUGUUUUUUAUUGAAAUGAAGAAAAUUAUCUUAUUAUUUUUAUUAAUAUUUAACUGAUAUUUUUAACCUAAAAGAUCAUAUUAUUUUUUAGUGAAAAUGGCAAAAUAUGGAAAGGGAUUAAUAUAACUAGGAUUAUAAACAGGCUCUCCAAUGAGUACCUUCACAUGUGUAUGAGAAUGGCCCUCACACCCUUCCAGCCCAUAUUUAAAAUCCUGGUAGAACAAGCCAAAUCUCACUUAACAAUCUCUCUGAACAAGACAAAGCAAUUCCUUGUAUUAUUUUUUUUCUUAAAUGAAACACAUUUUUAAAAAGUUCUUCGAUUUAUAUUUAAUUUUAUUAUAAAUAUUAUUGCAAUACUAUUGAAUUGUUUUUUCUUUAUUUAUUUUGACACUUAAUUGUUGAUACAUGCAUACGAGGCUACUUUAAUAAAUAUGGCACUGAAUCAUA